rnacentral:misc_RNA from 1 species
CAACCCUCAGGGCCCGCCUGCUUCGGCAGGCGCGGCGCUGGUGUUGGGGAUCGGCUUCACUGCCGUCCCCCAAAUACAGUGGCGGUCUCGCUGCAGCCUCCCCUGCGUAGUAGCAACACUCGCAUGCGGAGCGCGGCGCGGCCACGCCGUAAAACCCCCGACUUUCUGAA